GUUGCUUACGCUACAGGCACAAAAGCAAGUGCCUGAGAUCUCGAAGACAGCAAGACGCCAAGGCAGGACGCCAACCCAGGUCUUCUCAGGAGGCCCGCGGCAUGGCGCUCGGGCCAGUGACUGCAGAGCCGGGACAAAGUGGGCACAAUUAGCUCCCCUGCGUUUGCUCAAGCUGGCUCAGCACGCCACUAGCGGAGGUGAGAGAGACCCUCCCAGGCAUCGGGGAGCAAACCAGUGGUGCCUGGGAGAGGGAAACGGGGCAGGGCCGGACCGAGGGAAGAGGGAGGUGUUCACACCAGACAACCUGGGAGUCCAGACUUGCCCAUCCAGGGCUCAGCACGCAGGCGCCGCCACUCUGAACCAAUCAGGUUCAGCCAGUUGGGUGCCCUGUCGCUAGCAGCCAAGUGCCCCUGAUGUGGUAAAUAUUUGUGAGAUGUGUUGCUAAGGUCAGCCUCCUAACAGCCCAGAGGGUGAAAGGCCCAUGGGGCAAUUUCUAGGGGAAAGUUCCCAGGAUUCCUACAGCUCUGGGGAAAGUAAGAGAAAAGCUGCUAGCUCAACAGAGCCCAGCCUUAAACCCCGCCCCACUGAUCGAAACUCGGGAAGAAAACCAGCGCCAGCCAUCUCCACCCUGCACCCCCACCCCUGUUGUGGAAUGCUCCUGGCAGCACAGGACCCACACCUCGCCCCCCACUUCGCACUCGCUGCUCUGCUGGACCCACACCCUCUCCCUGUGAACCAAACUGCAGCCCCUCUGAGGGUACCUGGGGCAGCUCCCAGCCAUGGACAGAAAGCUUAAGCCCUUCUCCAGGCUUUGAGAACACGUUGCCUCCCUGCCCCAGCCGUCCUUAUGGGGGGCAGGGGGGCUGGCAACUCCCUGCCAGAGGGGAACUGGGGCCUGGGGUGGGGGGAACAACUUCAGAGCCCACAACCAACCCCCUCCCAGGAGGCAGGCACCCCACCCAACCCUGCAUCUCCUAAGAAGGCAAAACCACAAUACAGGAGUGGGUGGGGAGGACAUCGCAGAGAGAAGGGUCACUUGGAUGCAGGGGCCAGACAUCAAGAGGGGUCCUUCCCUUCAUUUCGGGGUUCCAGAGAAGACCUCUCUUCCAGGAAGUCGUCUCGAUAGUUCACGGUGUUAUACGCAUUAACAGUAAUCAUCACUUAAUGCACAACUACUAAUGCCAAGUGCUUUGCAUAUAGGACCUCUAAUUAACCCCAUUUUAUAGACGGGGAAACUAAAGCUCGGUCAGGUUAAAUAACCUGUCCCAGAUCACACAAUCAGUGGUGACAGAGUCCGGAUUAGAACCCAGGUCUGUCUGUAAAGUCUGGACCCUUUCUUAGGCCCUGUUCUCAUCUUCCUGUCUGUUCUCAGCCAGAAUGGGCACCUCCGUUCUUCCUCCUCCUCCAAGGGGAUGGGGGUGGGGGGGGGGUACCCAAAGACAGACAGAAACAUGCUCAGACCAGACAGAACAACUAGGGGGAAUGGGGGGCUGGGCUGUUGGCAAAGACUUGCAGAGGAUGGGAGCGUGGUGGGAGCUCAGGAAGCAAGGGGGAAAGGUUGGUGAGUGGAGGGAAGCAGGGAUGAGAAGGACUCUGGCCUCUGUGACACCUGGCUGGGGAGGGUGGGCACAUGGCUGCAUGCAGGGUGGAGGACAGGGGGGAACAGAGAAGGUAAGAAUCGAGGCCAGGUGGCUGAGCCCCCAAAGUACCCGUCUCCCUGUGUCAUCACUACCCCUAAGGAGGCCUGGGCCAUCUGCCUCUUGACCCCUCCCGAGCCAGGGGUCUCAGACCCCAGGGAGCCCAGGCGCUGAGCCACUGAGCACCUUCAAAUUCUGGAAUGUGCCAGAGCUUCAUUCCUCGAGCUGCCUCGUUCCCAGCAACAGGGAGGAGCACCGGAGCCCCUGGGCUUGUGGGGAGGAGAACUCAGUGGGACUCCAGAGUAACGAUCCAAAGUGCCCAGAGAGGCAGGCCUGGAGGAGGGGUUGCCCAGGGAAAGAUUCAGGAGAGAGGGGAUCCACAGGGGCCGGAGGGAGAGGGACAGGAAGGCACGGUGAAGGGAAGAGAACAUGGGGGGAGCGGUGCCAAGAAAGCCUUGGACAGGAUCCUUGCUGAGGUGGGGCUGAGGCAAAGCACUGUGGGGGGAGGGGGGAGGGCACACCUCCCCUGGCCCCACCCCAGCCCCCUUCCAGCUUGUCCAGGCCCAGCCAAGUGCCAGGGAGAACCCGUGUCAGAAACCCAGGGAGCCAGAGCAUCAGUUCCACUCGGCCCUCCCUCUCUGGGACUCUACUCCCGGAAAGCGACCCGUGCCUCACGAAGGCGCUUUGCAAGUAGGAAGCAGAGAAACUGUAUCAAAAUCCCUUUUCCCAUUUAGCCCCCUCCCACUGGCUGCAAAUUCAAAACAUAAAAUUAAAAAAUAAAAGAAAU